rnacentral:ncRNA from 1 species
AAUAACCAAAUAUAGCACUUGGGUUAAGAGUCAGAUUCAUAUUUUUUCUUACAUCCCCACAAUCGAGAGCCCAAAUAUCAUAUACAACUCCAAAAUACAAAGCCUUGAUCACUUUAAGAUACACC